GUGGCGGACGGGUGAGUAACACGUGAGAAUUUGCCUUUAGGAGGGGGAUAACAGAGUGAAAACGCUGCUAAUACCCCAUAUGCUUUCGAGUGAAAUGGAUUUAUUCGCCUAAAGAGAAGCUCGCGGCUGAUUAGCUUGUUGGUAAGGUAAUGGCUUACCAAGGCGACGAUCAGUAUCUGGUUUGAGAGGACGGUCAGACACACUGGAACUGAGACACGGUCCAGACUCCUACGGGAGGCAGCAGUGGGGAAUUUUCCGCAAUGGGCGAAAGCCUGACGGAGCAAUACCGCGUGAGGGAUGACUGCCUAUGGGUUGUAAACCUCUUUUCUCAGGGAGGAAAUCAAUGACGUUACCUGAGGAAUAAGCAUCGGCUAACUCCGUGCCAGCAGCCGCGGUAAGACGGAGGAUGCAAGUGUUAUCCGGAAUCACUGGGCGUAAAGCGUCUGUAGGUGGCUUAACAAGUCAACUGUUAAAUCUUGAAGCUCAACUUCGAAAUCGCAGUCGAAACUGUUAGGCUAGAGUAUAGUA
rnacentral:rRNA from 1 species